rnacentral:rRNA from 1 species
AUGCGGAGGUUCCAGGAGUCCGUCAAGGCCCUCGAGGCCGACAUCGAGCACGCCAAUGCGCUGGCGUCGGAGUUCCUGAGGGACUACGACGGGUCGGUCAUCCAGAUGCGGAUGGCCUACAGCGCCGUCGCGCAUGUCCUCGUCCAGUGGACCGACUGCAGACUCGCCAGCGCGCUCGGCCUCCUCAAGAUUAUGAUCUACAAGGUGUACGCGGAGGAUGGCACGACGACCUUGCCAAGUUGGGAGAGGGAGGCCAGCAUCAGAGAAUUCUACGGUGUUAUAUUCCCGUCGUUGCUUCAGCUGCCAAGCGGGAUCACUGAACUGGACGACAGGAAGCAAAGGAGGCUGUGCGUGGACAAGUUCAAGAGAAGGGAUGGCGAUUUCUCUCACCUGGAUUUGGAGAGGGAGGUCGAGUGUGGGAUUUGUCUGGAGGUGAACGCUAAAAUCGUGCUGCCCGACUGUACGCACUCCUUGUGCUUGAGGUGCUUCGAAGAAUGGAAUGCUAAAUCAAAGUCGUGCCCUUGCCGCGCCUGUCUCCAAAAGGUGAAGCCGAGCAGUCUGUGGGUGUACACCGAUGAUCGUGAUGUUGUAGACAUGGAUGCAUUGACGAGUGAAAACAUUAGGAGAUUGUUUAUGUACAUAAAUAAGCUGCCACUUGUAGUCCUCCAUGUUGUUGACCUUGACAUUUAUGAGUACCAUAGCAAAUAG